rnacentral:rRNA from 1 species
GACUGUUUACCAAAAACAUAGCUAUAAGCACACAUUAUUAAUAGUAUCGCCUGCUCAAUGAUCAGCCAUAACCAAAAAAAUAUUAUCCAAUAGCUGCGGUAACACCUGACCGCACAAAGGUAGCACAACAAAUAGCCUAUUAACUACAGGAUCGCAUGAAGGCAAAACGAAGUUUUUACUGUCUCAAGACCAAAACGAUAAAAUAGAAUGUGUGUGCAAAUCCCCACUUAAGCAGCAAGACGAUAAGACCCUAAGAACUUUACCCAAAACUUUAAUUUACCACAAUAUCCUAGAAAAUUAAAUACUCCAUUAAAGCUAUAAGUUUCGUUGGGGCAACGGUCUCAAAAAAAAUAACUAAGACUAAACAAUCACACAAAUAAGAUAAAUACAUCAACAAUUACACUACACGAUAAGACCCAUUAACAACAUUAAAAUAAUGAAUAAAAAACAAAAGCUCCUUAGGGAUAACAGCGUAAUAUUGUACUAAAGAAAUUUCUCAAACAAUGUUUGCGACCUCGAUGUUGAAUUAC